UAUCCUUAUUAUAUAGCUGUCUUUAGGAA
rnacentral:piRNA from 1 species